GUAAGGAAUAUUGGUCAAUGGACGAAAGUCUGAACCAGCCAUGCCGCGUGGAGGAUGAAGGUCCUCUGGAUUGUAAACUUCUUUUAUAUGGGACGAAAAUGGGGCUUUCUAGCUCAACUGACGGUACCAUAUGAAUAAGCACCGGCUAACUCCGUGCCAGCAGCCGCGGUAAUACGGAGGGUGCAAGCGUUAUCCGUAUUCACUGGGUUUAAAGGGUGCGUAGGUGGAUUGGUAAGUCAGAGUUGAAAUCUCCGGGCUCAACUCGGAAACUGCCUUUGAUACUAUCAAUCUUGAAUAUUGUGGAGGUUAGCGGAAUAUGUCAUGUAGCGGUGAAAUGCUUAGAUAUGACAUAGAACACCAAUUGCGAAGGCAGCUGGCUACACAUAUAUUGACACUGAGGCACGAAAGCGUGGGGAUCAAACAGGAUUAGAAACCCUUGUAGUCC
rnacentral:rRNA from 1 species